UACAGAGGUCUCAAGCGUUGUUCGGAUUCAUUGGGCGUAAAGGGCGCGUAGGCGGCGGGGUAAGUCGGGUGUGAAAUCUCAGAGCUCAACUCUGAAACUGCACUCGAUACUGCUCUGCUUGAGGACUGGAGAGGAGACUGGAAUUCACGGUGUAGCAGUGAAAUGCGUAGAUAUCGUGAGGAAGACCAGUGGCGAAGGCGGCUCACUGGCCCGGUACUGACGCUGAGGUGCGAAAGCGUGGGGGAGCAAACAGG
rnacentral:rRNA from 1 species